rnacentral:lncRNA from 1 species
GAUCUUUCAUUCGACCGGUCCUUGGUCGGUUUCUAUUGCCAUAAGGGAUAGGCAAACUAAUUUUUCAAUGCCUUUCCCAUGGAAUUCUUGAUGAUGAGUUACAAGACAGCACCAUGUGAUCCUCCCCAAACGAAGUCAUUUCUUUCUUAUUAGUUAUCAGACCCCAGAAAUCUCCCCUUCACCACUCAUUGAACAUCCCCACUCAACACAGGAACAUGAUUUUUCUGUCUACCCCUUUCAUCUAUAUAUACAAAGAAGAAUAUGUUCAGUGGCAACACCUAUCUUCACAUUCUCAAGUAAAGAAGUUUCCAAGUUCUCUGAGAUCUUCCUAUUCUUCCUUUUUAGAAGCAUAUAUCUAUCAAAAACAUCAAUGGCUAUCCGCCUGCCUCGUAUCAUUAGCUCUAAGAAAGUUCCCAAGGGCUACUUUGCAGUUUACGUUGGAGAAAACCAGAAGAGGUUCGUGAUACCAGUAUCAUUCUUGAACCAGCCUUUAUUUCAAGAUUUGCUUGGCAUGUCAGAACAAGAGUUCGGAUAUAGUCAUACUACCGGCGGUCUCACAAUUCCCUGCAACAAAGAUAUCUUUCUCGAUGUCACCUCUCGAUUAAACUGAUUUGUGAGAGAUUUAACACAAAUCAACCCAUACAUUUUUGUAAAGCAAGCAUCACUAACACUAUGUAAACACCUUUUUUCCCAUCCUUUUUUGCCUUGUUACUGUAUCUUCUACCAAUCAGUACAAAAAAUGACAGUUGAAAACACAUUGUUCAUUUCAAAAUUUAUUUCUUUUCAGAGUUUCUCCUGUUAUUGUUAGUUUCAUCUUUAUUUUAACUGUAAAUGAUCUACAGUGUUGAUUUACUUCAACCAACAAGCUAAGUUAUAUAGACUCUUCAUUUUUCUUAAAGCAUCUGUUCUAACUUCUAACACCUAUAUCCAACACAUAUUUGGCUGUAAGUAUGAGAGUAUGAUCCUCCAAAUAUAUAAAAGAUUUUAACCUUGAAGAAAAGUGUCUUAUCCCCAAUUUUUAGUUGUGUUUCAACAACAAAGAAAGAUAAAAUCUUGCUGUUUUUUAUAUUCAUUAUCUUAGUCAAGUCAACAUAGAAUGUCAAGGUAGUCCAUAUAUGCUUCCUUCUGGUCAUUGUACAACACAUUACAUGUCUCAAGCUUGCCUCUAACAUCAAGAUAAAAUCAUUUGUCGUUGGACUCUUCAUUUUCUUCAAAAUGCAUGUGUCCGGCACAUAUUCAAACAUGAAUAUAAAGUAUAUAAUCCUCCAAAUAUAAGAAAAAAAACUUAGAAAAUUCGAGAACACCCGUAUUCAAUACUCAAGCUCAGGUCCUGGUAACAUAGACUACAAGUAUUCUUUUGCAUUUUAGUAAGGUUAUUAAAUGAUAAAUUUUCUUUCAUAAAUCUCAAAGUAAUUUUCUUAGUGCAGAUUUGACAAAGAAUUAAUACCUAUGUCUCACUGUUCUUCAAAAGCCAGAAAUCAAUUUUUAACUAUAUAGACAAAGUGACUUGAACUUAUAUAUGUAGAUAACUCAAAAAAUCAGAAAUGUGGAUUAAAAACAGAUUCAUCUGUAAGGUUAUUCAUAUAUAUAUAUAGCAGCACAUACCAGAAAAUUUUGGUUAGUUGUCAAGGCUUAAUAUUGUCAUGGAACAAUUUGAUUGCAGCAUGGCAUAGACAACAACCAGGAUAAAAUGCAACCGGUUGGGGUUCCAGUGAGGACUAGUUGUAGCAUGUACACGCACUUAAGGCGUUCUUCAGAGUGGCUUGUCUUACAAGUUACUCACCAAAGGAAGACAUGAGUGUAAUAGGAGAGGUCAAUGUCACCCAUGUUAUAUGUUUCCUGUCAUUGUCUGACAGAUUAAAUGUCUCAAAUGUAGCCUGAAAUAAACGGCAAAGUAGUCGGUCCUUAGUCGGUUAUCCUUUCAAGUCUUAGCCAUGGAAUUCUUUAUCAUCCUUUGGAAGACAACACCAUGUGAUUCCCCAUGAACCCAUGUCUUUCUCAUUACCGAUCAGACCCCAUCAAUUUCACCUUCACCACUCAUUCCAUAUCCCCCCCUUAAUAAAAUAUGAACAUUAUUUCCUCUCUGCCCCUUACAUCUAUAUAUACAAGUAAGAUUAAGUUCAUUGCCAACACCUACCUUCAACAUUCUCAAGCUUGCUUUCUAAGUUAUCUGAGAUCCUCCACUUCUUCCUUUUUCAAAGCAUA